rnacentral:rRNA from 1 species
AAGUGGCGAACGGGUGAGGAAUAGAUAGGAACGUACCCCGAACUCCUGGAUAGCGUCCCGAAAGGGUCAUUACUACAGGAUAAUCUCGAGAGAGCAGAGAUUAUCGAGUUGGGAGCGGACUAUCUCCUAUCAGCUUGUAGGUGAGGUAGUGGCUCACCAAAGCGACGACGGGUAGCGGGACUGAGAGGUUAGCCCGCCACAUCGGGACUGAGACACUGCCCGGGACCUCCACGAGAAGGCUGCAGUAACGAAUAUUGGGCAAUGGGCGAAAGCCUGACCCAGCAAUGCCGCGUGCAGGAUGAAGCCCCUCGGGGUGUAAACUGCUGUCAGGGGUAAGAAAGCCUUCGGGUUGAUCAGCCCCAGAGGAAGUCACGGCUAACUUCGUGCCAGCAGCCGCGGUAAUACGAAGGUGGCGAGCGUAGUUCGGAAUCACUGGGCUUAAAGCGCGCGUAGGCGAGAAAGUACGUGUCUUGUGAAAUCCCCCGGCUACAACGGGGAAUUGCUGGGCAAACUAGCUUACUUGAGGCAGGUAGGGGUGCAUGGAACUCUUGGUGGAGCGG